CGGAGAUUUCAGCAAUGGAAUCUUAGUGGCGAACGGGUGAGUAACGCGUAGACAACCUGCCUUCUAGAUGGGGACAACACUGCGAAAGUGGUGCUAAUACCGAAUGUUGUAUGAAGAAUGCAUAUUUUUCAUACUAAAGAUGGCCUCUAUUUAUAAGCUAUCGCUAGAAGAUGGGUCUGCGUCUGAUUAGCUAGUUGGUGAGGUAAUGGCUCACCAAGGCGACGAUCAGUAGCCGGUCUGAGAGGAUGAACGGCCACACUGGGACUGAGACACGGCCCAGACUCCUACGGGAGGCAGCAGUGGGGAAUCUUCCGCAAUGGACGAAAGUCUGACGGAGCAACGCCGCGUGAGUGAAGAAGGUUUUCGGAUCGUAAAACUCUGUUUUCAGGGACGAAUGUGCAAUGUGUAAAUAAUGCGUUGUAAUGACGGUACCUGAGUAGAAAGCCACGGCUAACUACGUGCCAGCAGCCGCGGUAAUACGUAGGUGGCAAGCGUUGUCCGGAAUUAUUGGGCGUAAAGCGCGCGCAGGUGGGAUAUUAAGUCUGGUGUUAAAGUUCGGGGCUCAACCCCGUGAAGCAUUUGGAAACUGAUAUUCUUGAGUGCAGGAGAGGAAAGUGGAAUUCCUAGUGUAGCGGUGAAAUGCGUAGAUAUUAGGAGGAACACCAGUGGCGAAGGCGACUUUCUGGACUGUGUCUGACACUGAGGCGCGAAAGCUAGGGUAGUGAACAGGAUUAGAU
rnacentral:rRNA from 1 species